rnacentral:rRNA from 1 species
UAAGGAAUAUUGGUCAAUGGACGCAAGUCUGAACCAGCCAUGCCGCGUGGAGGAUUAAGGCCCUCUGGGUUGUAAACUCCUUUUAUCUGGGAAGAAAUGUACUUUUUCUUGAGUACUUGACGGUACCAGAGGAAUAAGCACCGGCUAACUCCGUGCCAGCAGCCGCGGUAAUACGGAGGGUGCAAGCGUCAUCCGGAUUCACUGGGUUUAAAGGGUGCGUAGGUGGGCAGGUAAGUCAGUGGUGAAAUCUCCGGGCUUAACCCGGAAACUGCCGUUGAUACUAUUUGUCUUGAAUAUUGUUGAGGUAAGCGGAAUAUGUCAUGUAGCGGUGAAAUGCUUAGAUAUGACAUAGAACACCAAUUGCGAAGGCAGCUUACUACACAAUCAUUGACGCUGAGGCACGAAAGCGUGGGGAUCAAAC